rnacentral:rRNA from 1 species
GACGAACGCUGGCGGCGUGCUUAACACAUGCAAGUCGAGCGGUAAGGCUCCUUCGGGAGUACACGAGCGGCGAACGGGUGAGUAACACGUGAGCAAUCUGCCCUUCACUCUGGGAUAACCCUCGGAAACGAGAGCUAAUACCGGAUACGAUCACUUCAGGCAUCUGAUGGUGAUGGAAAGUUCCGGCGGUGCAGGAUGAGCUCGCGGCCUAUCAGCUUGUUGGUGAGGCAAUGGCUCACCAAGGCUUCGACGGGUAGCCGGCCCGAGAGGGUGACCGGCCACACUGGGACUGAGACACGGCCCAGACUCCUACGGGAGGCAGCAGUGGGGAAUAUUGGACAAUGGGCGAAAGCCUGAUCCAGCAACGCCGCGUGAGGGAUGACGGCCUUCGGGUUGUAAACCUCUUUCAGCACAGACGAAGCGCAAGUGACGGUAUGUGCAGAAGAAGGACCGGCCAACUACGUGCCAGCCGCCGCAGUAAGAC